AGUCGAGCGGACCUUCGGGUGUAGCGGCGGACGGGUUAGUAACGCGUGGGAACGUGCCCUUCUCUACGGAAUAGCCUCGGGAAACUGAGAGUAAUACCGUAUACGCCCUUCGGGGGAAAGAUUUAUCGGAGAAGGAUCGGCCCGCGUCUGAUUAGAUAGUUGGUGGGGUAAUGGCCUACCAAGUCUACGAUCAGUAGCUGGUUUUAGAGGAUGAUCAGCAACACUGGGACUGAGACACGGCCCAGACUCCUACGGGAGGCAGCAGUGGGGAAUCUUAGACAAUGGGCGCAAGCCUGAUCUAGCCAUGCCGCGUGAGUGAUGAAGGCCUUAGGGUCGUAAAGCUCUUUCGCCAGAGAUGAUAAUGACAGUAUCUGGUAAAGAAACCCCGGCUAACUCCGUGCCAGCAGCCGCGGUAAUACGGAGGGGGUUAGCGUUGUUCGGAAUUACUGGGCGUAAAGCGCACGUAGGCGGAUCAGAAAGUUGGGGGUGAAAUCCCAGGGCUCAACCCUGGAACGGCCUCCAAAACUCCUGGUCUUGAGUUCGAGAGAGGUGAGUGGAAUUCCGAGUGUAGAGGUGAAAUUCGUAGAUAUUCGGAGGAACACCAGUGGCGAAGGCGGCUCACUGGCUCGAUACUGACGCUGAGGUGCGAAAGUGUGGGGAGCAAACAGGAUUAGAUACCCUGGUAGUCCACACCGUAAACGAUGAAUGCCAGUCGUCGGGUAGUAUACUGCUCGGUGACACCCCUUAACGGAUUAAACAUUCCGCCCUGGGGGAGUCGGGUCGCAAGAUUUAAACUCAAAGGAAUUGACGGGGGGCCC
rnacentral:rRNA from 1 species